rnacentral:lncRNA from 1 species
AUUAUCUGCGGCCUCGUACCCACGCCCGAAUCACAGCCGUGCUGAUUGCACUCCCUUUCUUGUGAUAUUGCUUAACGGACGUUCAUCACAUUAUCUAGCUACAUAAGGGAGGCCUAUAAUUAAAAAGUCAAAGACGGUCCAAAUCUUUGAGUCAUUUAACAACACCAUGAAUGAAGAUGGAAUGGAUGACACAUAUCCAGGCAUGGAUCAUAUAUCAACCGCAGUAUUAAAAUGCCAGAGCACUUCUUCAGAAGGAGAACCAUUUGGAGAUUUACUCAUGGUGAAAAUGAGGUAAUGUUAGAUUUUGACAUUUGGGAGACAUUUAAUCUAACCAUGCAGACAGUGUUUCCUGUUAUCAAAGUAGCAUUUCCGGGCCAUCAUUACAAUACAUCUAUCUAAAGAUGUAGUUGUUUUGGUGUUUGCUCUUAUGUUGUUGUUACAGUGUGGUGUUCUUUUUUCAUUAUAAUUACCAUUGAAUAAAUGUAUGUCUUAUAAAGGGUCAAGAAUCAGACCUGUGAAGACCAGGCACCUCCUCUGGGACCUUUCUUCAGGCGAGACCACUCUUCAGCCCUGUCGUGAUUGUCUGCGAACCCAACUGCGUACUGGCCAUUGGAACCAUGCCUGUGGUGACCUUCCCAAAAGAGGACAUCUAUGCCAGCGUGACGUAUCUCAUGGAGUGUUAUUACACCUUUACCUCACAUAUCCCAAGUACAUUGUGACACUCCUCUCUGUGUUGCAGACAGAAGUCCUCUCGGACGCCAUCCACGACCAGGACAUGACUUCUUCAUAUAAAAAGGCUAUGGCCGAGUGGAAAAAGUUCAUUACUGACUAGGGUUGCACAAUACCAUUUUUUCAUUUCCAGUCCCGAUAACAAAACUGUGUAUUGGCCCAUCCGAGAACUGAUCCUAUAACCUUUAAUAAAUAGACAGGGCGUUUGUUGUUUAUUAUAAGAAGGUUUAAAGCACUGUUAUGAAUGUUAUCUUCCCAUUGGUCUUACAUUUUCACCUUGACCACCAAUGGCCUUUGUUGUUUUUGCAUCCAGUUCUGCCCAUAUCAGCCUCUGGAUAUACUGAGUCUUCAAUAAAGAAGUGAAAAGAAAUGAGAUUCAUCACAUUUACAUCUUAGUCAUUUAGCAGAAGCUCUUAUUCAGAGCGACUUACAGUAGUGAAUGCAUACAAUUCAUACAUUUUUUUUUUUCUUCCUUCCCUGUGUUGGUCCCCCAUGGGAAUUGAACCCACAACCCUGGUGUUGCAAACACCAUGCUCUACCAACUGAGCCACUCUUUCAUUCUUUCUUUAAGCUGGCCAAUCUCAUUUCUAAUAGUAGUACAAGUACAUUUAUCUUAGUCAAGAUUACUUAUUUUAAGCAAAAUGUUUCUGUAAAUUCCUGGGAAUAUUGCCUUAUUUCAAGACGAUUGCAAUAGCAUUGGAUUCUAAAUUUAAGCACAUUUUCCUACAGAUUUAGAAAAUAAUUCUUAAAUCUUUUAUUUGCAUACAGAC